CUUGCAUUUGAAAGCUGUCCAAAACCAGAAGCUGUCAAGGACUGCUGAAGCUUCACAUUACUGGGUUUUUGAGAUGUCUCCUGUUGCUUAGUUUUGAAAUGCAGCCAGUGCUGGGGCAUUAAAGGAUGUGUCUUUUUGGCUACUGCUCUGCUGGAGCUGAAACUUUCCCAAAACUCACAGCUAAGCAGUUCAGUGUGUGUUGCAUGGGACAGCUACAGAAUUCCAAUUACUGCAAUGAUGACCCUCUCUUGCUGUUCCCACUGGGUGUCAUAAACUCCAUGACUCCUUCCAAGAAACGUUAAGGUGAGUCGCAUUUUAUUUAUUGUGCUGAGUAAUGCCAUUAACACGUUCCAAAUUGAUCCAUCAAAGAAGUCA
rnacentral:lncRNA from 13 species